rnacentral:lncRNA from 1 species
CACCCCGCACUGGAGUGGAGCCGUGGAGCUGGAGCAGGACCUUGGGGCAGCCCAGUGGUGACCGGGACCUCAGGGGCUGAGGAGGGGCUCUGUCAAGUGGGGACGGCAUUGAGGAGCCAGGAGCCUCCCCAGGAAAGCAAUGGAGAAGGGGGUUCCUGCCCUCCUCGUCCCUCCUGCUGGGGUCUCCGCCUCCUCGGGCAUCUCCCUGGCCUCCCCCAGGCUCCCGGGCAGUUGAGCUCUGGGGGGUGAAUGGAGCCUCUCCUCUCCCCAGACUCCUGACGUGGGGAGCAGGGACAGGAAGGAAUGCUUGAGAAACGUCCCUGGGGUCCCACUCCUGAUCUCCGCACCUACCUGCCCCUUCCCAGCAAGGUGAGAUUAGCAAAGGCCUCCUUGGUGCUUAGAGAAGCAGAGGCCCAGAGAACUAAAAGGAACUAGAAACAGUUAUUUACUGAACAUUUAUUGGGGGUACAGAAGAAUACAGCCACGUUCCCUCCCUCACGGAGGUGAUGUUUCAACAAGGAUUUUUGAAGGAAAAUAAAGGAGGUAAGAUGACAGUGGGGACGCAGCAGGGGAGGUCAAGGCAGGUGUCUCUGGGAAGGUGUUAUCUGAGCAGAGGCCUGAAAGAGAGGAGGGAGCCCGCCAUGGGAGGUUCUGGGGGAGUAGCUGGUGCAA